UCAUGCACCUGCAUGUGUUGUGACGGGGUGGCAGCCUGCGGCUGGCAAUUGGGGGAAGUGAGCCCAGCUGCAAUCCCUCCUUCCAUGCAAGCAAUAUUAGUGCUCACAGUUAUGACUCCAGUAGACGGAGCAGGUGCACCAUGCACNNNNNNNNNNUGGGGUGGCAGCCUGCGGCUGGCAAUUGGGGGAACUGAGCCCAGCUGCGAUCCCUCCUUCCAUGCAAGAAAUAUCAGUGCUCACAGUUAUGACUCCAGUAGACGGAGCAGGUGCACCAUGCACAGCAUCGAGCGUAUUAGACUCAGCCUUAGCUCCCACCAAAUACUCCUCCAGCGAAAGCGGUUUCAACACGGAUUUAGACUGCUCACUUCCUUUGUUACUCCUGGGAGUCUUUCCCAAAAUUCUUGGCAAACUAGG
rnacentral:lncRNA from 1 species